AAAAGCUACAAAGAAAAUGUUUGGCAUUUACUUCUGCUGAUAACUAGAAUACUUUUGUUGACCAUUAUAUUAUAAACAUAUCUCUUAUUUAUUCAGGUUGGACUGUUUACAGAGAUUGGACCUUUGUCUUGUUUUAUUUCCAGACAUUCUAUUCCAGCAGAUAUGGAGUUUGAUCCCAGCUCAAAUCCUCCCUGCUACAAAACUAAAGAUGAGGAUGUUGUUAUU
rnacentral:sRNA from 1 species